rnacentral:rRNA from 1 species
AAAUACUCCUGACUGACCGAUAGUGAACCAGUACCGUGAGGGAAAGGCGAAAAGAACCCCGGCGAGGGGAGUGAAAAAGAACCUGAAACCGUGUACGUACAAGCAGUGGGAGCACCCUUUGGGGUGUGACUGCGUACCUUUUGUAUAAUGGGUCAGCGACUUAUAUUCUGUAGCAAGGUUAACCGAAUAGGGGAGCCGGAGGGAAACCGAGUCUUAAUUGGGCGUUAAGUUGCAGGGUAUAGACCCGAAACCCGGUGAUCUAGCCAUGGGCAGGUUGAAGGUUGGGUAACACUAACUGGAGGACCGAACCGACUAAUGUUGAAAAAUUAGCGGAUGACCUGUGGCUGGGGGUGAAAGGCCAAUCAAACCGGGAGAUAGCUGGUUCUCCCCGAAAGCUAUUUAGGUAGCGCCUCGUGAAUUCAUCUCCGGGGGUAGAGCACUGUUUCGGCUAGGGGGCCAUCCCGGCUUACCAACCCGAUGCAAACUGCGAAUACCGGAGAAUGUUAUCACGGGAGACACACGGCGGGUGCUAACGUCCGUCGUGAAGAGGGAAACAACCCAGACCGCCAGCUAAGGUCCCAAAGUCAUGGUUAAGUGGGAAACGAUGUGGGAAGGCCCAGACAGCCAGGAUGUUGGCUUAGAAGCAGCCAUCAUUUAAAGAAAGCGUAAUAGCUCACUGGUCGAGUCGGCCUGCGCGGAAGAUGUAACGGGGCUAAACCAUGCACCGAAGCUGCGGCAGCGACGCUGAUGCGUUGUUGGGUAGGGGAGCGUUCUGUAAGCCUGUGAAGGUGGCCUGUGAGGGUUGCUGGAGGUAUCAGAAGUGCGAAUGCUGACAUAAGUAACGAUAAAGCGGGUGAAAAGCCCGCUCGCCGGAAGACCAAGGGUUCCUGUCCAACGUUAAUCGGGGCAGGGUGAGUCGACCCCUAAGGCGAGGCCGAAAGGCGUAGUCGAUGGGAAACGGGUUAAUAUUCCCGUACUUGGUGUUACUGCGAAGGGGGGACGGAGAAGGCUAUGUUGGCCGGGCGACGGUUGUCCCGGUUUAAGCGUGUAGGUGUGUGUUCCAGGUAAAUCCGGUUCACUUUAACACUGAGGCGUGAUGACGAGGCACUACGGUGCUGAAGCAACAAAUGCCCUGCUUCCAGGAAAAGCCUCUAAGCAUCAGGUAACAUCAAAUCGUACCCCAAACCGACACAGGUGGUCAGGUAGAGAAUACCAAGGCGCUUGAGAGAACUCGGGUGAAGGAACUAGGCAAAAUGGUGCCGUAACUUCGGGAGAAGGCACGCUGACAUGUAGGUGAAGUGAUUUACUCAUGGAGCUGAAGUCAGUCGAAGAUACCAGCUGGCUGCAACUGUUUAUUAAAAACACAGCACUGUGCAAACACGAAAGUGGACGUAUACGGUGUGACGCCUGCCCGGUGCCGGAAGGUUAAUUGAUGGGGUCAGCGCAAGCGAAGCUCCUGAUCGAAGCCCCGGUAAACGGCGGCCGUAACUAUAACGGUCCUAAGGUAGCGAAAUUCCUUGUCGGGUAAGUUCCGACCUGCACGAAUGGCGUAAUGAUGGCCAGGCUGUCUCCACCCGAGACUCAGUGAAAUUGAACUCGCUGUGAAGAUGCAGUGUACCCGCGGCAAGACGGAAAGACCCCGUGAACCUUUACUAUAGCUUGACACUGAACAUUGAGCCUUGAUGUGUAGGAUAGGUGGGAGGCUUUGAAGUGUGGACGCCAGUCUGCAUGGAGCCG